UACAGGUGGGAUUGCGUUUUUCAAUAAUAAUUAGGCAUUAAGUGUAAUUAGGUUGCUGAACUUUGAUCUACUAUGUGGAUUAAGGAUUAAUAGCUAGAGUAAAAAAGAAGAGUAAGAGGAAUAAUCAAAGAAAGGAUGAAAUCUUUAGAUAUUGAUUGGAACACCAAUGGCGACGGCAUCACUCUAUUUUUUACUGACACUGAUUUACUAAAGUAUGGGGAGCAAAUCGG
rnacentral:rRNA from 1 species